rnacentral:lncRNA from 1 species
GAGCUUCCACCGUUCGAUUACUCCCCGCCGCCAUAUGCGGGCCCCACCGCUGAGGAGAUUCUGGCGAAGCGCAGGGAGUAUCUUAGUCCUUCCAUCUUGCAUUCAUACAAGAACCCUGUGAGUCCGCGCUGCACACGAUUAUUUUCCGACAAAUAAUUAUGAGAGUUUAACGUUGAUCCACUUGAGUAGUGUAUAAGUAACUCAUCAUUUAAAAGUUUUUACCAUGUGAACCAGUUAAUCUUAGAAUUUUUUAUUUAAUUUUGUAAUACAAAAUUUUAAGAUUUAAUAAAUUUUAAACUGUUUUUCAAGAAAAAAAAAUAUUUACAUUGUAUUUUUACUGCAAAUAUUUACACUGUUAGUAUUUAGGACAAGUAUAUAUUAUUUACUUUAUUUAUUAAUAUAAAUAUACUUCUUAUUUGUUGACAAGUUGGUAUUUUAUGUGUCAAUGCUACAUAUUAAUUUUUAAUUAAAUUGUUAUAAUUUGAAAGUUUUAGCAAUUAUUUAUUUAUUUAUUUAGUAGACAGCAAGUGAAAGUAAUUGAAAUGAAUUUAAUUGUUAUGAAUUCAUGUUAUUUGUGAUUAAACUGCGUGCUGCAUUAAAACAAAUCCACCAAAAAUAAUUCAUACACGCAAUAUUGGUUACAUUCAACCCUUGUUUUCAGAAAACAUCUUCCUUGCUUUUAUGGUGAAAGUGGAUUGGACUUCAUGUCAUCACAGCAUUUGAAACAACAAAACAAACACGAUGAUAUACCAUUUGAUAAAUGUUUUCGUAGUUAAUUAAACAAAUUCAGUUACAAAGUCUCGUAAUUUAGAUUUACAAAAUUUAAAAGUGUAAGUAAUGAAUAAGUUAUAUAAUUACUAAAAACCAAUACACAUUUAAUCUUGAUGAAUGAGAAAGAAUUAAAAGAAAUGGUUGUGUGGGGGUGGUGGUGCAGGUGAACAUAGUGGAGGGUAAGAAACAGUACCUGUUCGACGAGAAGGGGAGAAGGUACGUGGAUGCAUUCGGAGGGAUUGCUACGGUGUGCUGCGGGCACUGUCACCAUGAUGUGGUGGAGGCCAUAGUCAACCAAACCAAGAAGUUGCAGCACUCCACUGUUCUCUAC